AUUGAACGCUGGCGGCAGGCCUAACACAUGCAAGUCGAGCGAGCGGCGGACGGGUGAGUAAUGUAUGGGGACUGCCCGAUAGAGGGGGAUAACUACUGGAAACGGUGGCUAAUACCGCAUACUAUCGGAUAACCCAUAUUGGAUUAGCUAGUAGGUGGGGUAAAGGCUCACCUAGGCGACGAUCUCUAGCUGGUCUGAGAGGAUGAUCAGCCAUCCUGGUACUGCGACACGGCCCAGACUCCUACGGAGGCAGCAGGGGGUAAUAUUUCACCAGCGGCGCAAGCCGGAGACAGCCAUGCCGCGUGUAGGAAGAAGGCCUUAGGGUUGUAAAGUACUUUCAGCGGGGAGGGCUUACCUGCAGACGAAGCCCCGGCUAACUCCGUGCCAGCAGCCGCGGUAAUUC
rnacentral:rRNA from 1 species